rnacentral:rRNA from 1 species
CAGCAGCCGCGGGAUACGUAGGGUGCAAGCGUUAAUCGGAAUUACUGGGCGUAAAGCGUGCGCAGGCGGUUAUAUAAGACAGAUGUGAAAUCCCCGGGCUCAACCUGGGAACUGCAUUUGUGACUGUAUAGCUAGAGUACGGCAGAGGGGGAUGGAAUUCCGCGUGUAGCAGUGAAAUGCGUAGAUAUGCGGAGGAACACCGAUGGCGAAGGCAAUCCCCUGGGCCUGUACUGACGCUCAUGCACGAAAGCGUGGGGAGCAAACAGGAUUAGAUACCCGCGUAGUCCCUGUCUCUUAUACA